GUAACAACUAGGGCAUUUUAAGUUUUUCUGGCCGUCAAACUUGUUUCUUUCUAGUUGCUACGUUGCUGCUUUUUCUUAUUAACUCCUAUGUUUGUAUCCGCCCAAGCGCUUUUUAGCUUGGGCUUUUUUUC
rnacentral:antisense_RNA from 1 species